rnacentral:tRNA from 1 species
GCGGGGAUAGCUCAGUUGGGAGAGCGUCAGACUGAAGAUAAAACUUCAAUCAUGGAAUCUGAAGGUCGUGCGUUCGAUCCGCACUCACCGCA